rnacentral:rRNA from 1 species
UACGUAGGGAGCAAGCGUUGUCCGGAAUCAUUGGGCGUAAAGCGCGCGUAGGUGGCCUCAUAAGUCCGUUGUGAAAGUCAAAGGCUCAACCUUUGAAAGCCGAUGGAUACUGUGAGACUAGAGUACGGAAGAGGCGAGUGGAAUUCCUGGUGUAGCGGUGGAAUGCGCAGAUAUCAGGAGGAACACCCAUAGCGAAGGCAGCUUGCUGGGACGUUACUGACGCUAAGGCGCGAAAGCGUGGGGAGCGAACAGG